rnacentral:pre_miRNA from 10 species
CGGCUCUCGCCUGGUGGUGUAAUAUCUCGCUGGGGCCUGCAAAUUGUUGUACCCAAGCGAGUUAGGAAAACAUCACACUUUGAGAUGAAUUAAGAGUUCUUUAUUAG